rnacentral:lncRNA from 1 species
CAGUCUUUUACGGGUAGACUCACACCUUAGAGUAUCAAGGGCACUCUUAAGAACCUCUAACUUUUGCGGGUAAGUUAGUACCUUAGAGUAUCAAAGAACUCUUAAAAACCUCUCUAAGCUUUAAGGCUACUUCGCUUAGGAACCGGUCUUUUACGGGUAGACUCACACCUUAGAGUAUCAAGGGCACUCUUAAGAACCUCUAACUUUUACGGGUAAGUUAGUACCUUAGAGUAUCAAGGAACUCUUAAAAACCUAGAAAUCUUUCAAGGUAGAUUCGACCUAAGAGUUUUCCCGGAAACUUUAUAAAACCAAACUAAAGCUUUAUGGUUGAGCUCGAAAACCUUCUCUCACACUUUGGUACUAUUGAGACAACCCUCUCAACCAAAGUGGACACACACAAGAGGUGAUUAGAGGAGUGGAAUAUUAAAGCAAACAACACUUCUUACUUGUAAAGAUGAACAAGAAGAUUAGAAGAAAAAGUUGGAGAGCUUUUGAAGCUUUGGAAAGCUAGGACACUUGAGCACUUUGAAAGCUUGAAAGCUUGGAGGCAAAAACGUGUGGACAAGUGUGGAGUGAAAGCUCUUGAGUUUGCU